rnacentral:rRNA from 1 species
GAUGAACGCUGGCGGCGUGCCUAAUACAUGCAAGUCGAGCGAACAGACGAGGAGCUUGCUCCUCUGACGUUAGCGGCGGACGGGUGAGUAACACGUGGAUAACCUACCUAUAAGACUGGGAUAACUUCGGGAAACCGGAGCUAAUACAGGAUAAUAUAUUGAACCGCAUGGUUCAAUAGUGAAAGACGGUUUUGCUGUCACUUAUAGAUGGAUCCGCGCCGCAUUAGCUAGUUGGUAAGGUAACGGCUUACCAAGGCAACGAUGCGUAGCCGACCUGAGAGGGUGAUCGGCCACACUGGAACUGAGGCACGGUCCAGACUCCUACGGGAGGCAGCAGUAGGGAAUCUUCCGCAAUGGGCGAAAGCCUGACGGAGCAACACCGCGUGAGUGAUGAAGGUCUUCGGAUCGUAAAACUCUGUUAUUAGGGAAGAACAAAUGUGUAAGUAACUAUGCACGUCUUGACGGUACCUAAUCAGAAAGCCACGGCUAACUACGUG